GAUGAACGCUGGCGGCGUGCCUAAUACAUGCGAGUCGAGCGAACGGACGAGAAGCUUGCUUCUCUGAUGUUAGCGGCGGACGGGUGAGUAACACGUGUAUAACCUACCUAUAAGACUGGGAUAACUUCGGGAAACCGGAGCUAAUACCGGAUGAUAUUUUGAACCGCAUGGUUCAAAAGUGAAAGACGGUCUUGCUGUCACUUAUAGAUGGAUCCGCGCUGCAUUAGCUAGUUGGUAAGGUAACGGCUUACCAAGGCAACGAUGCAUAGCCGACCGGAGAGGGUGAUCGGCCACACGGGAACUGAGCCACGGUCCUGACUCCUGCGGGAGGCAGCAGUAGGGAAUGUUCCGCAAUGGGCGAAAGCCUGACGGAGCAACGCCGCGUGAGUGAUGAAGAUCUUCGGAUCGUAAAACUCUGUUAUUAGGGAAGAACAUAUGUGUAAGUAACUGUGCACAUCUUGACGGUACCUAAUCAGAAAGCCACGGCUAACUACGUG
rnacentral:rRNA from 1 species